UGGGUAUGGCCUACCAAGACUAUGACACAUAACUGGUUUGAGAGGAUGAUCAGUCACACUGGAACUGAGACACGGUCCAGACUCCUACGGGAGGCAGCAGUGGGGAAUAUUGCACAAUGGACGAAAGUCUGAUGCAGCAACGCCGCGUGGAGGAUGACACAUUUCGGUGCGUAAACUCCUUUUAUAUGAGAAGAUAAUGACGGUAUUAUAUGAAUAAGCACCGGCUAACUCCGUGCCAGCAGCCGCGGUAAUACGGGGGGUGCAAGCGUUACUCGGAAUCACUGGGCGUAAAGAGCAUGUAGGCGGAUUGAUAAGUUUGAAGUGAAAUCCUAUAGCUUAACUAUAGAACUGCUUUGAAAACUGUUAAUCUAGAAUGUGGGAGAGGUAGAUGGAAUUUCUGGUGUAGGGGUAAAAUCCGUAGAGAUCAGAAGGAAUACCGAUUGCGAAGGCGAUCUACUGGAACAUUAUUGACGCUGAGAUGCGAAAGCGUGGGGAGCAAACAGGAUUAGAUACCCUGGUAGUCCACGCCCUAAACGAUGUACACUAGUUGUUGUGAGACUUGAUCUUGCAGUAAUGCAGUUAACACAUUAAGUGUACCGCCUGGGGAGUACGGUCGCAAGAUUAAAACUCAAAGGAAUAGACGGGGACCCGCACAAGCGGUGGAGCAUGUGGUUUAAUUCGACGAUACACGAAGAACCUUACCUGGACUUGACAUAGUAAGAACUUUCUAGAGAUAGAUUGGUGUCUGCUUGCAGAAACUUAUAUACAGGUGCUGCACGGCUGUCGUCAGCUCGUGUCGUGAGAUGUUGGGUUAAGUCCCGCAACGAGCGCAACCCUCGUGUUUAGUUGCUAACAGUUCGGCUGAGAACUCUAAACAGACUGCCUACGCAAGUAGGAGGAAGGUGAGGACGACGUCAAGUCAUCAUGGCCCUUACGUCCAGGGCUACACACGUGCUACAAUGGGAUAUACAAAGAGCSGCAAUACGGUGACGUGGAGCAAAUCUUAUAAAUAUCUCCCAGUUCGGGAUUGUAGUCUGCAACUCGACUACAUGAAGUUGGAAUCGCUAGUAUCGUAGAUCAGCUAUGCUACGGUGAAUACGUCCCUGGUCUUGUACUCACCGCCCGUCACACCAUGGGGAGUCGG
rnacentral:rRNA from 1 species